rnacentral:rRNA from 1 species
UACAGAGGGUGCGAGCGUUAAUCGGAAUUACUGGGCGUAAAGCGUGCGUAGACGGUUAUUUAAGUCGGGUGUGAAAGCCCCGGGCUCAACCUGGGAAUGGCAUUCGAGACUGAAUAGCUAGGGUACGGUAGAGGGAAGCGGAAUUUCCGGUGUAGCGGUGAAAUGCGUAGAUAUCGGAAGGAACAUCAGUGGCGAAAGCGGCUUCCUGGAC